AGCAAUCAUCCCAAAGGAGAGACAUCUCCCAGCUCCCCAGUCAUCCUGUUGGAGGUCUGUUUUGCUCUAUACAGGCAGAUCAGGUUCCAAAAAGCAUCAUGUUUCUGGAGGAAGAACACUGACAAAAUCAAAGCAUGUGUGAGGAAGAGCCAAGCUGAAGCCAGGAAGGCGUUCAUCUGUCGAGCUCGCAAGGAGAAGCAGCAGUGCAAGUUUAUUUUAGCCAACCAAGUCAGUUGCUGGGACCACAGCAUCUCUUCCAGGAAACCAAAAAGCCUCUUAAAACAUCUUCAGAAACUUAACAGGUA
rnacentral:lncRNA from 1 species